rnacentral:piRNA from 1 species
UCAGGAGCGUUGAACUUGAGGAGUCC